GUCCGCGGCCGAUUAGCUAGUUGGUAGGGUAAAAGCCUACCAAGGCUACGAUCGGUAGCCGGCCUGAGAGGGCACACGGCCACACUGGCACUGAAACACGGGCCAGACUCCUACGGGAGGCAGCAGUGGGGAAUCUUGCACAAUGGGGGCAACCCUGAUGCAGCGACGCCGCGUGAGCGAUGAAGCCCUUCGGGGUGUAAAGCUCUUUCGGCAGGGAAGAUUAUGACGGUACCUGCAGAAGCAGCUGCGGCUAACUACGUGCCAGCAGCCGCGGUAAUACGUAGGCAGCAAGCGUUGUUCGGAGUUACUGGGCGUAAAGGGUGUGUAGGCGGUUUUCUAAGUCUGGUGUGAAUCUUCCCGGCUCAACUGGGAGGGUGCGCCGAAAACUGGAAGGCUAGAGUGCGGGAUGGGAGA
rnacentral:rRNA from 1 species